rnacentral:lncRNA from 1 species
UUGUGUUUCAUACUUAUUUUCUUUUAGAUACAUUUUUAGGUGCUCGAAGGGUGUUGAGGAAUUACAUAUGAUUGAUAUUCAUAUUUGGAUAUUAUUUGUGAAGUUGUUAUUAGUGUUUGAUGUGAUUAAUUAUGUGCUAAAUUGUUUUAUAAGUUUAUAUCGGGAGGACUCGAAGCCUAAUGGUUUUGAAAUUUUAUGUUUUGCUUUAAAAAUGAUUUUCACUGGUGUAAAGCUUUAAAAUAAGAAAGCAUUGUUUUCACAGAUUUUUAAGUGAAAAUGAAGUUGAAUAUCUUGAAUCCAAUAUUUUAAACUUGCUCAAACUAAGAAACAUGGGAAAUUUUGCAUUGGUUUUUAAUUUUUCAUAAUGUUAAGUGUAAGUUGUAAAAGAUUUUGGAGCUUAAAACAUCAAACUUUGUUUAUGAACAAUUCUGGGCAUAAAACACAUUCGCACAAUUAUUGCACGAUUUUAAUUUUUCGUUGUGUUUCACACUUAUUUUCUCUUAGAUACAUUUUUAGGUGCUCGAAGGAUGUUGAGGAAUUACAUAUGAAUGAUCUUCAUAUUUGGAUAUUAUUUGUGAAGUUGUUAUUGCUGUUUGAUGUGAUUAAUUAUGUGCAAAAUUGUUUUGUAAGUUUAUAUCGGGAGGACUCGAAGACUAAUAUUUUUGAAAUUUCAUGUUUUGCUUUGAAAAUGAUUUUCACUGGUAUCAAGCUUUAAAAUAUGAAAGCAUUGUUUUAGCAGGUUUUUAAAUGGAAAUGAAUUUGAAUAUCUUGAAUCCAAUAUUUUAAACUUGCUCAAACAAAAAAAAAUGGUAAAACUUGCAUUAGUUUUAAUUUUUCAUAAUGUUAAGUGUAAGUUAUAAAGGAUUUUCGAGCUUAAAACAUCAGACUUUGUUUCUCAACAAUUUUGGACAUAAAAACCAUUCGCACAAUUGUUGCACGAUUUUAAUUUUUCGUUGUGUUUCAUACUUAUUUGCUUUUAGAUACAAUUUUAGGUGCUAUAAGGAUGUUGAGGAAUUACAUAUGAAUGAUCUUCAUAUUUGGAUAUUAUUUGUGAAGUUGUUAUUGGUGUUUGAUGUGAUUAAUUAUGUGCUAAAGUGUUUUAGCAGUAUAUAAGUGGAGCGCUCGAAGACUAAUGCUUUCAAAAUUUUAUGUUUUGCUUUGAAAAUGAUUUUCACUGGAGUUAAGCUUUAAAAAUAUGAAAUCAUUGUUUUAGCAGGUUUUUAAUUGGAAAUGAAUUUGAAUAUCUUGAAUCCAAUGUUUUCAACUUGCUCAAACAAAGAAACAUGGUAAAACUUGCAUUGAUUUUAACUUUUCAUAAUGUUAAGUGUAAGUUAUAAAGGAUUUUGGAGCCUAAAACAUCAGACGUUGUUUAUGAACAAUUUUGGGCGUAAAAACCAUUCGCACAAUUGUUGCACGAUUUUAAUUUUUCGUUGUGUUUCAUACUUAUUUUCUUUUAGACACAUUUUUAAGUGCUCAAAGAAUGUUCAGGAAUUACAUAUGAUUGAUCUUUAUAUUUGGAUAUUAUUUGUGAAGUUUUUAUUGGUGUUUGAUGUGAUUAAUUAUGUGCAAAAUUGUUUUAUAAGUUUAUAUGGGGAGGACUCGAAGACUAAUAUUUUUGAAAUUUCAUGUUUUGCUUUGAAAAUGAUUUUCACUGGUAUCAAGCUUUAAAAUAUGAAAGCAUUGUUUUAGCAGGUUUUUAAAUAGAAAUGAGUUUUAAUAUCUUGAAUCCAAUAUUUUAAACUUGCUCAAACAAAAAAAAAAUGGUAAAACUUGCAUUGGUUUUAAUUUUUCAUAAUGUUAAUUGUAAGUUAAAAAGGAUUUUGGAACUUAAAACAUCAGGCUUUGUUUCUAGACAACUUAGGGGUUAAAAAUCAUUCGGACAAUUAUUGCACGAUUUUAAUUUUUCGUUGUGUUUCAUGCUUAUUUGCUUUUAGAUACAUUUUUACGUGCUUUAAGGAUGUUGAGGAAUUACAUAUGAAUGAUCUUCAUAUUUGGAUAUUAUUUGUGAAGUUGUUAUUGGUGCUUGAUGUGAUUAAUUGUUGCUAAAUUGUUUUAGCAGUUUAUAAGUGGAGCGCUUGAAGACUAAUGUUUUUGAAAUUUUAUGUUUUGCUUUGAAAAUGAUUUUCACUGCAGUUAAGCUUUAAAAUAUGAAAUCAUUGUUUUAGCAGGUUUUUAAUUGGAAAUGAAUUUGAAUAUCUUGAAUCCAAUGUUUUCAACUUGCUCAAACAAAGAAACAUGGUAAAACUUGAAUUGGUUUUAACUUCUCAUAAUGUUAAGUGUAAGUUAUAAAAGAUUUUGGAGCCUAAAGCAUCAGACUUUGUUUAUGAACAAUUCUGGGCAUAAAAACCAUUCGCACAAUUGUUGUACGAUUUUAAUUUUUCGUUGUGUUUCAUACUUAUUUGCUUUUAGAUACAUUUUUAGGUCCUCUAAGGAUGUUGAGGAAUUACAUAUGAAUAAUGUGCAUAUUUGGAUAUUAUUUGUGAAGUUGUUAUUAGUGCUUGAUAUGAUUAAUUAUGUGCUAAAUUGUUUUAUAAGGUUAUAUGGGGAGGGCUCGAAGCCUAAUAGUUUUGAAAUUCUAUGUUUUGCUUUGAAAAUGAGUUUUAGGUGCUCUAAGGAACUUGUGGUAUUACAUAAGAAUGAUCUUGAUAUUUGGAUAUUAUUUGUGAAGUUGUUAUUGGUGGUUGAUGUGAUUAAUUAUGUGCUAACUUGUUUUAGCAGUUUAUAAGGGAAGUGCUCGAAAGAUAAUUUUUUGGAAAUUUUAUGUUUUGUUUUAAAAAUAAUUUUCACUUGAGUCCAGUUUUAAAAUAUGAAAGCAUUAUUUUGCCAGGUUUGAAAUGGAAAUGAACUUGAAUAUCUUGAAUCAAAUGUGUUAAACAUGCUCAAACAAAGAAACAUGUUAAAACUUGCGUUGGCUUUAAUUUUUCACAGCGUUAACUGUAAGUUAUAAAGAAUUUUGGAGCAUAAAACAUCAGAUUUUGUUUUUGAACAAAUCUGGCAUAAAAACCAUUUGCAUAAUUUCAAAUCAUUUUUGCAUGAUUUUAAUUUAUCAUUGCGUUUCAUAGUUAUUUGCUUUUAGAUACAGUUUUAGGUGCUCUAAGGAACUUAUGGGAUUACUUAUGAAGCAUCUUGAUAUUUGGAUACUUGCUGUGAUUAAUUGUAUGCUAAAUUGUUUUAGCAGUUUAUAAGAGCAGCACUCGAAGCCUAAUUCUUUUGAAAUUUUACGUUUUUCUUUGAAAAUUAUUUUCACUAGAGUAAAGCUUUAAAGUAAAAACGCAUUAUUUUAGCAGGUUUUUAAAUGCAAAUGAAUUUGAAAAUCUUGAAUCCAAUAUUUUUUUAAACUUGGUCAAACAAAGAAACAUAUAAACCAUGCAUUAGUUUUAAUUUUUCAUAGUGUUAAGUAUAAGUUAUAAAGGAUUUUGGAGCUUAAAACAUCAGACCUUGUUUCUGAAUAAUUUUGGGCAUAAAAAUCAUUCGCACAAUUAUUGCAAGAUUUUAAUUUUUCAUUGUGUAUCAUACUUAUUUUCUUUUAGAUACAUUUUUAGGUGCUGUAAGGAAGUUGAAGAAUUACAUAUUAAUGAUCUUCAUAUUUGGAUAUUAUUUGCUAAUUUGUUAUUGGUGCUUGAUGUGAUUAAUUUUGUGCCAAAUUGUUUAUCAGUUUAUAAGUGGAGCACUCGAAGCUUAAUGCUUUUGAAAUUUUAUGUUUUGCUUUGAAAAUGAUUUUCACUGGAGUCAAGCUUUAAAAUAUUAAAGCAUUGUUUUAGCAGGUUUUUAAAUGAAAAUGAAUUUGAUUAUCUUGAAUCCAAUGUUUUAAACUUGCUUAAACAAAAAAACAUGGUAAAACUUGCAUUAGUUUUAAAUUUUCAUAAUGUUAACUGUAAGUUAUAAAGGAUUUUAGAGUUUAAAACAUUAAACUUUGUUUAUUAACAAUUCUGGGCGUAAAAAGCAUUCGCACAAUUAUUGCACGAUUUUAAUUUUUCGUUGUGUUGCAUUACCUAUUUGCUUUUAGAUACAUUUCUAGGUGCUCUAAGGAAGUUAAGGAAUUACAUAGGAAUAAUCUUCAUAUUUGGUUAUUAUUUGUGAAGUUGUUAUUGGUGCUUGAUUUGAUUAAUUAUGUGCUAAAUCGUUUUAGAAGUUUAUAUGGGGAGACUCGAACCCUAAUGCUUUUGAAAUUUUAUGUUUUGCUUUGAAAAUGAUUUUCACUGGUAUAAAGUUUUAAAAUAUGAAAGCAUUGUUUUAGCAGAUUUUUAAAUGAAAAUGAAAUUGAAUAUCUUGAUUCCAAUGUUUUAAACUUACUCAAAAAAAGAAACAUGGUAAAACUUGCACUGGUUUUAAUUUUUCAUACUGUUAAGUGUAAGUUAUAAAGUAUUUUGGAGCUUAAAACAUCAGGCUUUGUUUCUAACCAACUCUGUGCUUAAAAGCCAUUCGCACAAUUAUUGCACGAUUUUAAUUUUUCAUUGCGUUUCAUACUUAUUUGCUUUUAGAUACAAUUUUAGGUGCUUGAGGGAUGUUGAGGAAUUACUUAUGAAUGAUCUUCAUAUUUGGAUAUUAUUUGUGAAGUUGUUAUUGGUGUUUGAUGUGAUUAAUUAUGUGCUAAAUUGUUUUAGCAGUUUAUGAGUGAAGCACUCGAAGCUUAAUACUUUUUAAAUUUUAUGUUUUGCUUUGAAAAUGAUUUUCACUGGUAUAAAGCUUUAAAAUAUGAAAGUAUUGUUUUAGCAGAUUUUUAAAUUGAAAUGAAUUUGAAUAUCUUGAAUCCAAUGUUUUAAACUUGUUCAAACAAAGAAACAUGGUAAAACUUGCAUUGGUUUUAAUUUUCCGAAAUGUUAAGUGUAAGUUAUAAAGGAUUUUGGAGCUUAAAACAUCAGACUUUGUUUAUGAAGAAUGGGCAGAAAAACCAUUUGCACAAUUAUUGCACGAUUUGAAUUUUUCAUUGUGUUUCAUACUUAUUUGCUUUUAGAUACAUUUUUAGGUGCUCUAAGGAUGUUGAGGAAUUACAUAUGAAUAAUCUUUAUAUUUGGAUAUUAUUGUGAGUUGUUAUUGGUGCUUGAUGUGAUUAAUUGUCUGCUAAAUUGUAUUCAGCAGUUUAUAAGGGGAGCACUCGAACCUAAUGCUUUUCGAAAUUUUAUGUUUUGCUUUGAAAAUUAUUUUCACCGGUAUCAAGCUUUAAAAAUACGAAGGCAUUGUUUUAGCAGGUUUUUUAAAUGGUAAUGAUCUUGAAUAUCUUGAAUCCAAUGUUUUAAACUUGCUCAAACAAAGAAACAUGGCAAAACUUGCUUUGGUUUUAAUUUUUCACAGUGUUAAGUGUAUGUUAUAAAGGAUUUUGAGCUUAAACCAUCAUACUUUAUUUCUGAACAAUUAUGGGCUUAAAAACCAUUCUUUCAAUUAUUGCACGAUUUUAAUUUUUUGUUGUGUUUCAUACUUAUUUGCUUUUAGAUACUUUUUUAGGUGCUCUAAGGAUGUUGAGGAAUUACAUAUGAAUGAUUUUCAUAUUUUGAUAUUAUUUGUGAAGUUGUUAUUGGUGCUUGAUGUGAUUAAUUAUAUGCUAAAUUGUUUUAGCAGUUUAUAAGGAGAGCACUCGAACUCUAAUGCUUUUGAAAUUUUAUGUUUUCCUUUAAAAAUGAUUUUCACUGGUAUAAAGCUUGAAAAUAUGAAAGCAUUGUUUUAGCAGAUUUUUAAUUGGAAAUGAAUUUGAAUAUCUUGAAUCCAAUUUUUUAAACUUGUUCAAACAAAGAAACAUGGUAAAACUUGCAUUGGUUUUAAUUUUUCGUAAUGUUAACUGUAAGUUAUAAAGGAUUUUAGAGUUUAAAACAUUAAACUUUGUUUAUGAACAAUUCUGGGCAUAAAAACCAUUCGCACAAUUAUUGCACGAUUUUAAUUUUUCAGUGUGUUUCAUACUUAUUUGCUUUUAGAUACAUUUUUUGGUGCUCUAAGUAUGUUGAGGAAUUACAUAGGAAUAAUCUUCAUAUUUGGUUAUUAUUUGUCGAGUUGUUAUUGUGCUUGAUGUGAUUAAUUGUCUGCUAAAUUGUUUCAGCAGUUUUAUAAGGAGAGCACUCGAAACUAAUGCUUUUGAAAUUUUAUGUUUUGCUUGAAAAUGAUUUUCACCGGUAUCAAGCUUUAAAAUACGAAGGCAUUUGUUUAGCAGGUUUUUAAAUGCAAAUGAUCUUGAAUAUCUUGAAUCCAACGUUUUUAAACUUGCUCAAACAAAGAAACAUGGCAAAACUAACUUGCAUUGGUUUAAUUUUCACAGUGUUAAGCGUAUGUUAUAAAGGAUUUUGGAGCUUAAACCAUUAGACUUUGUUCUGAACAAUUAUGGCUUAAAAGCCAUUCGCACAAUAUAUUGCACGGUUUUUAAUUUUUUCGUUUAUUCAUGCUUAUUUGCUUUUAGAUACACUUUUAGGUGGCUCUAAGGACGCUGAGGAUUACGUAUUAAUGAUCUUUCAUAUUUGGAUAUUAUUUGUGAAGUUGUUAUUAGUUCUUGAUGUGAUUAAUUAUGUGCUAAAUUGUUUUAUAAGUUUAUAUGGGGAGGACUCGAAGCCUAAUGGUUUUGAAAUUUUAUGUUUUGCUUUGAAAAUGAUUUUCACUGGUAUCAAGCUUUAAAAUAUGAAUGCAUUGUUUUACCAGAUUUUUAAAUGGAAAUAAAUUUAAAUAUCUUGAAUCCAAUGUUUUAAACUUCCUCAAACAAAGAAACAUAGUAAAACGUCCAUUGUUUUUAAUUUUUCAAAAUGUUAAGUGCAAGUUAUAAAGGAUUUUGGAGCUCGAAACAUCAAACUUUAUUUAUGAACAAUUUUGGGCAUAAAAGUCUUUCGCACGGUUAUUGCACGAUUUUAAUUUUUCGUUGUGUUUCAUACUUAUUUUCUUUUAGAUACAUUUUUAGGCGCUCUAAGGGAGUUGAGGAAUUACAUAUGAACGAUCUUCAUAUUUGGAUAUUAUUUGUGGAGUUGUUAUUGGUGCCUGAUGUGAUUAAUUGUCUGCUAAAUUGUUUCAGCAGUUUUAUAAGGAGAGCACUCGAAACCUAAUGCUUUUGAAAUUUUAUGUUUUGCUCUGAAAAUGAUUUUCACUGGUAUCAAGCUUUAAAAUACGAAGGCAUUGUUUUAGCAGGUUUUUUAAAUGCAAAUGAUCUCGAAUAUCUUGAAUCCAAUGUUUUAAACUUGCUCAAACAAAGAAACAUGGCAAAACUUGCAUUGGUUUUAAUUUUUCAUAGUGUUAAGCGUAUGUUAUAAAGGAUUUUGGAGCUUAAACCAUUAGACUUUGUUUCUGAACAAUUAUGGGCUUAAAAGCCAUUCGCACAAUUAUUGCACGAUUUUUAUUUUUCGUUGUUAUUCAUGCUUAUUUGCUUUUAGAUACAUUUUUAGGUGCUCUAAGGAUGUUGAGGAAUUACGUAUUAAUGAUCAAAUAAUAUUUGGAUAUUAUUUGUGAAGUUGUUAUUGUUGCUUGAUAUGAUUAAUUAUGUGCUAAAUUCUUUUAUAAGUUUAUAUGGGGAGGACUCGAAGCCAUUAAGUUUUGAAAUUUUAUGUUUUGCUUUGAAAAUGAUUUUCACUUGUAUCAAGCUUUAAAAUAUGAAAGCAUUGUUUUAGCAGAUUUUUAAUUGGAAAUGAAUUUUAAUAUCUUGAAUCCAAUGUUUUAAACUUGCUCAAACAAAGAAAUAUGGUAAAACUUGCAUUGGUUUUAAUUUUUCAUAAUGCUAAGUGUAAGUUACAAACGAUUUUCGAGCUUAAAACAUCAAAUUUUCUUUCUAAACAAUGCUAGGAGUAAAAACAAUUUGCACAAUUAUUGCAAUAUUUUAAUUUUUCGUUGUGUUUUCAUACUUACUUACUUUUAGAUACAUUUAUUGGUGCUCUAGGGAUGUUGAGGAAUUACCUAUGAAUGGUCAAAUAAUAUUUGGAUAUUAUUUGUGAAGUUGUUAUUGUUGCUUGAUAUGAUUAAUUAUGUGGUAAAUUGUUUUAUAAGUUUAUAUGGGGAGGACUCGAAGCCAUUAAGUUUUGAAAUUUUAUGUUUUGCUUUGAAAAUGAUUUUCACUGGUAUCAAGCUUUAAAAUAUGAAAGCAUUGUUUUAGCAGAUUUUUAAAUGGAAAUGAAUUUAAAUAUCUUGAAUCCAAUGUUUUAAACUUCCUCAAACAAAGAAACACAGUAAAACGUGCAUUGGUUUUAAUUUUUCAAAAUGUUAAGUGUAAGUUAUAAAGGAUUUUGGAGCUCAAAACAUCAGACUUUGUUUAUUAACAAUUCUGGGUGUAAAAAUCAUCCGCACAGUUAUUGCACGAUUUAAAUUUUUCGUUGUGUUUCAUACUUAUUUUCUUUUAGAUACUUUUUUAGGUGCUCAAAGGAUGUUGAGGAAUUACAUAUGAAUGAUCUUCAUAUUUGGAUAUUAUUUGUGAAGUUGUUAUUGGUGUUUGAUGUGAUUAAUUAUGUGCUAAAUUGUUUUAUAAGGUUUUAUGGGGAGGACUCGAAGCCUAAUGGUUUUGAAAUUUUAUGUUUUGCUUGAAAAUGAUUUUCACUGGUGUAAAGCUUUAAAAUAUGAAAGCAUUGUUUCAGCAGAUUUUGAAGUGGAAAUAAAUUUGAAUAUCUUGAAUCCAAUAUUUUAAACUUGCUCAAACAAAGAAACAUGGGAAAUUUGGCAUUGGUAUUAAUUUUUCAUAAUGUUAAGUGUAAGUUAUAAAAGAUUUUGGAGCUUAAAACAUCAAACUUUGUUUAUGAACAAUUCUGGGUGUAAAACCCAUUCGCAAAACUAUUGCACGAUUUUAAUUUUUCAUUGUCUUUCAUACUUAUUUGCUUUUAGAUACAUUUUUUGGUGCUCUAAGUAAGUUGAGGAAAUACAUAGGAAUAAUCUUCAUAUUUUGUUAUUAUUUGUCAAGUUGUUAUUGGUUCUUGAUUUGUUUAAUUAUGUGCUAAAUUGUUUUAGAAGUUUAUAUGGGGAGAGUAGAAGCCUAAUGUUUUUUAAAUUUUAUGUUUUGCUUUGAAAAUGAUUUUCACUGGUAUCAAACUUUAAAAUAUGAAAGCAUUGUUUUAGCAGAUUUUUAAUUGGAAAUGAAUUUUAAUAUCUUGAAUCCAAUGUUUUAAACUUGCUCAAACAAAGAAAUAUGGUAAAACUUGCAUUGGUUUUAGUUUUUCAUAAUGCUAAGUGUAAGUUAUAAAGGAUUUUCGAGCUUAAAACAUCAAAUUUUGUUUCUAAACAAUGCUGGGAGAAAAAAUAAUUUGCACAAUUAUUGCAGUAUUUUAAUUUUUCGUUGUGUUUUCAUACUUACUUGCUUUUAGAUACAGUUUUAGGUGCUCUAGGGAUGUUGAGGAAUAACGUAUAAAUGAUCAAAUAAUAUUUGGAUAUUAUUUGUGAAGUUGUUAUUGUUGCUUGAUAUGAUUAAUUAUGUGCUAAAUUGUUUUAUAAGGUUUUAUGGGGAGGACUCGAAGCCUAAUGGUUUUGAAAUUUUAUGUUUUGCUUUGAAAAUGAUUUUCACUGGUGUAAAGCUUUAAAAUAUGAAAGCAUUGUUUCAGCAGAUUUUGAAGUGGAAAUAAAUUUGAAUAUCUUGAAUCCAAUAUUUUAAACUUGCUAAAACAAAGAAACAUGAGAAAAUUUGCAUUGGUUUUAAUUUUUCAUAAUGUUAAGUGUAAGUUAUAAAAGAUUUUGGAGCUUAAAACUUCAAACUUUGUUUAUGAACAAUUCUGGGCGUAAAACUCAUUCGCACAAUUAUUGCACGAUUUUAAGUUUUCAUUGUGUUUCAUACUUAUUUUCUUUUAGAUACAUUUUUAGGUGCUCGAAGGGUGUUGAGUAAUUACAUAUGAAUGAUCUUCAUAUUUGGAUAUUAUUUGUGAAGUUGUUAUUGGUGUUUGAUGUGAUUAAUUAUGUGCUAAAUUGUUUUAUAAGUUUAUAUGGGGAGUAUUAAAAGACUAAUGUUUUUGAAAUUUUAUGUUUUGCUUUGAAAAUGAUUUUCACUGGUAUUAAGCUUUAAAAUAUGAAAGCAUUGUUUUAGCCGGUUUUUAAUUGGUAAAACUUGCAUUGGUUUUAGUUUUUCAUAAUGCUAAGUGUAAGUUAUAAAGGAUUUUCGAGCUGAAAACAUCAAAUUUUGUUUCUAAACAAUGCUGGGAGUAAAAAUAAUUUGCACAAUUAUUGCAGUAUUUUAAUUUUUCGUUGUGUUUUCAUACUUACUUGCUUUUAGAUACAUUUUUAGGUGCUCUAGGGAUGUUGAGGAAUUACGUAUGAAUGAUCAAAUAAUAUCUGGAUAUUAUUUGUGAAGUUGUUAUUGUUGCUUGAUAUGAUUAAUUAUGUGAUAAAUUGUUUUAUAAGGUUUUGUGGGGAGGACUCGAAGCCUAAUGGUUUUGAAAUUUUAUGUUUUGCUUUGAAAAUGAUUUUCACUGGUGUAAAGCUUUAAAAUAUGAAAGCAUUGUUUCAGCAGAUUUUGAAGUGGAAAUAAAUUUGAAUAUCUUGAAUCCAAUAUUUUAAACUUGCUAAAACAAAGAAACAUGAGAAAAUUUGCAUUGGUUUUAAUUUUUCAUAAUGUUAAGUGUAAGUUAUAAAAGAUUUUGGAGCUUAAAACUUCAAACUUUGUUUAUGAACAAUUCUGGGCGUAAAACCCAUUCGGACAAUUAUUGCACGAUUUUAAGUUUUCAUUGUGUUUCAUACUUAUUUUCUUUUAGAUACAUUUUUAGGUGCUCGAAGGGUGUUGAGGAAUUACAUAUGAAUGAUCUUCAUAUUUGGAUAUUAUUUGUGAAGUUGUUAUUGGUGUUUGAUGUGAUUAAUUAUGUGCUAAAUUGUUUUAUAAGUUUAUAUGGGGAGUAUUCAAUGACUAAUGUUUUUGAAAUUUUAUGUUUUGCUUUGAAAAUGAUUUUCACUGGUAUUAAGCUUUAAAAUAUGAAAGCAUUGUUUUAGCCGGUUUUUAAUUGGUAAAACUUGCAUUGGUUUUAGUUUUUCAUAAUGCUAAGUGUAAGUUAUAAAGGAUUUUCGAGCUUAAAACAUCAAAUUUUGUUUCUAAACAAUGCUGGGAGUAAAAAACAAUUUUUGCACAUAUAUUGCAGUAGUUUUAAAUUUUUCGUUGUGUUUUCAUAACUUACUUGCUUUUAGAUACAUUUUUAGGUGCUCUUAGGGAUGUUUGAGGAAUUAACGUAUGAAUGAUCAAAUAAUAUUAUGGAUAUAUUUGUGAAGUUGUUAUUGUUUGCUUGAUAUGUUAAUUAUGUGCUAAAUUGUUUUAUAAGGUUUUGUGGGAGGACUGCGAGCCUAAUGGUUUUGAAAUUUAUGUUUUGCUUUGAAAAUGAUUUUUCACUGGUGUAAAGCUUUAAAAAUAUGAAAGCAUUGUUCAGCAGAUUUUGAGUUGGAAUAAAUUUGAAUAUCUUGAUCCCCAAUUAUUUUUUAAACUUGGCUCAAACAUAAAAUAUGGUUAAAACUUGCAUUGGUUUUAAUUUUUCCAUAAUUUUAAGUGUAAGUUUAAAAGAUUUUGGAGCUGAAAACAUCAGGCUUUGUUUCUGAACAACUUAGGGCUUAAAAAUCAUUCGCACAAUUAUUGCACGAUUUUAAUUUUUCGUUGUGUUUCACACUUAUUUGCUUUUAGAUACAUUUUUACGUGCUCUAAAGAUGUUGAGGAAUUACAUAUGAAUGAUCUUCAUAUUUGGAUAUUAUUUGUGAAGUUGUUAUUGGUGCUUGAUGAUAAUUAUGUGCUAAAUUGUUUUAGCAGUUUAUAAGUGGAGCACUCGAAGCUUAAUACUUUUAAAAUUUUAUGUUUUGCUUUGAAAAUGAUUUUCACUGGAGUUAAGCUUUAAAAUAUGAAAUCAUUGUUUUAGCAGGUUUUUAAUUGGAAAUAAAUUUGAAUAUCUUGAAUCCAAUGUUUUCAACUAGCUCAAACAAAGAAACAUGGUAAAACUUGCAUUGGUUUUAACUUUUCAUAAUGUUAUGUGUAAGUUAUAAAGGAUUUUGGAGCCUAAAAUAUCAGACUUUGUUUAUGAACAAUUCUGGGCGUAAAAACCAUUCGCACAAUUGUUGCACAAUUUUAAUUUUUCGUUGUGUUUCAUACAUAUAUUUGCUUUUAGAUACAUUUUUAGGUGCUUGAAGGAUGUUGAGGAAUUACAUAUGAAUGAUCUUCAUAUUUGGAUAUUAUUUGUGAAGUUGUUAUUGGUGUUUGAUGUGAUUAAUUAUGUGCUAAAUUGUUUUAUAUGUUUAUAUGGGGAGGACUCGAAGACUAAUGUUUUUGAAAUUUUAUGUUUUGCUUUGAGAAUGAUUUUCACUAGUACCAAGCUUUAAAAUAUGAAAGAAUUAUUUUAGCAGGUUUUUAAAUGAAAAUGAAUUUGAAUAUCUUGAAUCCAAUAUUUUAAACUUGCUCAAACAAAAAAACAUGGUAAAACUUGCGUUGGUUUUAAUUUUUCAUAAUCGUAAUUGUAUGUUAUAAAGGAUUUUGGAGCUUAAAACAUCAGGCUUUGUUUCUGAACAACUUAGGGCUUAAAAACCAUUCGUAUAAUUAUUGCACGAUUUUAAUUUUUCGUUGUGUUUCAUACCUAUUUGCUUUUAGAUACAUUUUUACGUGCUCUAAGGAUGUUGAGGAAUUACAUAUGAAUGAUCUUCAUAUUUGGAUAUUAUUUGUAAAGUUGUUAUUGAUGCUUGAUGUGGUUAAUUAUGUGCUAAAUUGUUUUAGCAGUUUAUAAGUGGAGCACUCGAAGCCUAAUGCUUUUGAAAUUUUAUGUUUUGCUUUGAAAAUGAUUUUCAUUGGAGUUAAGCUUUAAAAUAUGAAAUCAUUGUUUUAGCAGGUUUUUAGUUGGAAAUGAAUUUGAAUAUCUUGAAUCCAAUGUUUUCAACUUGCUCAAACAAAGAAACAUGGUAAAACUUGCAUUGGUUUUAACUUUUCAUAAUGUUAAGUGUAAGUUAUAAAAGAUUUUGGAGCCUAAAACAUCAGACUUUGUUUAUGAACAAUUCUGGGCGUAAAAACCAUUCGCACAAUUGUUGCACGAUUUUAAUUUUUCAUUGUGUUUCAUACUUAUUUGCUUUUAGAUACAUUUUAGGUCCUCUAAGGAUAUUGAGGAAUUACAUAUGAAUAAUCUUUAUAUUGGGAUAUUAUUUGUGAAGUUGUCAUUAGUGCUUCAUAUGAUUAAUUAUGUGCUAAAUUAUUUUAUAAGGUUAUAUGGGGACGACUCGAAGCCUAAUGGGAAUGAAUUUGAAUAUCUAGAAUCCAAUGUUUUAAACUUGCUCAAACAAAGAAAUAUGGUAAAACUUGAAUUGGUUUUAAUUUUUCAUCAUGUUAAGUGUAAGUUAUAAAGGAUUUUCGCGAUUAAAACAUCAGAUUUUGUUUAUGAAUAAUUCUGCGCGUAAAAAUAAUUCGCACAAUUACUGCACGAUUUGAAGUUUCCGUUGUGUUUCAUACUUAUUUACUUUUAGAUACAUUUUUAAAUGCUCUAAGGAUGUUGAGGAAUUACAUACGAAUGAUUUUCAUAUUUGGAUAUUAUUUGUGAAGUUGUUAUUGGUACUUGAUGUGAUUAAUUAUGUGCUAAAUUGUUUUAGAAGUUUAUCUGUGGAGGACUCGAAGCCUAAUGGUUCUGAAAUUUUUAUGUUUUGCUUUGAAAAUGAUUUUCACUGGAAUAAAGCUUCAAAACGGGAAAGCAUUGUUUUAAUAGGUUUUUAAAUGGAAAUGAAUUUCAAUAUCUUGAAUCCAAUGUUU